CAUAGCAACAAACCCUGUUUGAGAACUUCACAGUGAUAUUUGACUCUGAUGUAUUUCUCUAAGUGGUCCAAAUGUGUUUUACUGGGCUAACUUUGAACUGACGGUGUUCCUCACUCCAGCCACAUCAGCAGAGAGCCAUUAAAAAAACAAAACAAAACAAACAAACAAAAACAACUGGGGGGAGAAUACAAGCUAUGCAUCUGAAGGAUAUCUCUGUUUCACCGUGUCAUUCUACUGCAGUUAUGUUUUCUAAGUAACUUUAUUAAAACCGUUCAUUAAAGCAUACUCGAUUUCUAUUCAAGGAUUACAAAAAAAGAACAAGUGAAAGUUAUAUU
ensembl:lncRNA